rnacentral:misc_RNA from 1 species
AACGCACGAGACCUGCGGACCUGCGGAGGGAUCAUUAUCGAGUUAGGGUCUUCCUGGCCCGACCUCCCAACCCCAUGUUUACAAAACCUCUUGUUGCUUCGGCGCGCCCGUCUCAGGACCGCCGGGGGACUCUAAGAACGUCCCCUGGUCUGCGCCCGCCGGUGGCCAAACUUGUACAAAUUCUGAUCAAAGCGUGUCACCUGUCUGAGUACCAUGAAAUAAAGCAAAACUUUUAACAAU